GCGGAUAUGGCGGAAUUGGCAGACGCGCCAGACUUAGGAUCUGGUGUCACCGACGUGCAGGUUCAAGUCCUGUUAUCCGCACUA
rnacentral:tRNA from 2 species